rnacentral:rRNA from 1 species
UACAGAGGGGGCAAGCGUUGUUCGGAAUUACUGGGCGUAAAGGGCGCGUAGGCGGCCUGCUAAGUCGAACGUGAAAUCCCCGAGCUCAACUCGGGAACUGCGUCCGAUACUGGCAGGCUUGAAUCCGGGAGAGGGAUGCGGAAUUCCAGGUGUAGCGGUGAAAUGCGUAGAUAUCUGGAGGAACACCGGUGGCGAAGGCGGAUCUCUGGGCCGAUACUGACGCUGAGGAGCGAAAGCGUGGGGAGCGAACAGG